rnacentral:rRNA from 1 species
AGUCUGGUGCCAGCAGCCGCGGUAAUUCCAGCUCCAAUAGCGUAUAUUAAAGUUGUUGCAGUUAAAAAGCUCGUAGUUGAAUUUCGGGGUUCUACCGUUGGUCGGGCUUUGUCUGUACUGGCGUGUAGAAUUUCUACCUUCUGGGGAACCAUCAUGUUAUUAAUUUAACGUGGUGGGAAACCAGGACCUUUACCUUGAAAAAAUUAGAGUGUUCAAAGCAGGCUUAUGUCUGAAUACAUUAGCAUGGAAUAAUAAAAUAGGACGGUGGUCCUGUUUUGUUGGUUUCUGAAUCACCGUAAUGAUUAAUAGGGAUAGUUGGGGGCAUUAGUAUUCAAUUGUCAGAGGUGAAAUUCUUGGAUUUAUUGAAGACUAACUUCUGCGAAAGCAUUUGCCAAGGAUGUUUUCAUUAAUCAAGAACGAAAGUUAGGGGAUCGAAGACGAUCAGAUACCGUCGUAGUCUUAACCAUAAACUAGCCGAUCUAGGGAUCGGCAGAGGUAUUUU